GGUUGAUCCUGCCAGAGGCCGCUGCUAUCCGGCUGGGACUAAGCCAUGGGAGCCAUGGGGCGCGGGCCCUUCGGGGUUCGCGCACCGGCGGACGGCUCAGUAACACGUGGCCAACCUGCCCUCGGGAGGGGGAUAACCCCGGGAAACUGGGGCUAAACCCCCAUAGGGGAUGGGUGGUGGAAUUCCCCCAUCCCCGAAAGUGUGCGGUUGCCGUAAGGCGCCGCACAGCCCGAGGAUGGGGCUGCGGCGGAUUAGGUAGUUGGCGGGGUAACGGCCCGCCAAGCCGAAGAUCCGUACGGGCCAUGAGAGUGGGAGCCCGGAGAUGGCCCCUGAGACAAGGGGCCAGGCCCUACGGGGCGCACCAGGCGCGAAACCUCCGCAAUGCGGGAAACCGCGACGGGGUCAGCCGGAGUGCCCGUGCAUUGCACGGGCUGUCGGGGUGCCUAAACAGCACCCCAUAGCAAGGGCCGGGCAAGGCCGGUGGCAGCCGCCGCGGUAAGACCGGCGGCCCGAGUGGCGGCCACUCUUAUUGGGCCUAAAGCGUCCGU
rnacentral:rRNA from 1 species